GUUGAUUGACAGCACUGACAUGAUACCAGGGACAUAGUGGGACUGGAAGGAGAAAUCCAGAGAAUUUGAUGCACUUGCUCCUGAAGAACAUCUCAUUUCUUUAGAAACAACUAUGUAUUCAUAAAACAAAUGUUAAGAAAUAUUUCUCCUUUAGCCAUAUCCAUAUUUAGAAACAAGGUCUACCAAAAAGAAGUGAGUUAAGGACCUGUUAUGCAUGUAUGGCUGUCAUCAAGAAAAGAAAAAACAAC